UUACGACGAAAUAUCCUCCUUCGCUUUUACGACGAAAUUAUUUCCUCGCUAUCUUACGACGAAUUAGCGAGGAUAUAUGCGUUACGACAAACGUAUAACGACGAAACGGGUUUCCUCGCUAAUUCCUCGUAACACUGCUUUUACGACGAAGUAACGAGGAAAACUGCCCUCGUAAAACUUGUGUUUUCUUGUAGUGAUAAUAGGAAGUGUUGUGAGUGGAUUAGGCAACGGAGUAAAAACAAGUAGUAUAUGUGUUCCCCUUAAAGCUUGUUAUGAAAUACAUCACUCAUCCUCAUCCACACAUCACUUGUCCACGUAUAUUCAAUCUACAAAUCAUCCAUCCACGCCGUCCACAAAUCACACAUCCACAUAUUACCUGAGUAUCCACAAGUGUCGUUUUUAGUAUGGGCAAAAUUAUUUACAAUCUGUCAUUAGUCCACAACAAAGUGUGUCAUAUAUAAAAAUGUCUUUAGAUGUAAUAGAAAGUAAAAAAAUGUCAUUGAGUAUAAUCAACUCUUCUAUCAAUAGCAUUUCUACACUUCUAGUAUUCAAACUGCUGAAAAUACAUGGUCUAGUAACGUUGUAUGACGGCGUCAUCUACUUCUACUUGUGUUAAAAAUAAUGCGCCGUAUUGAUCAAUUUUGAUAUAUUUACAUGUCAAAUGGUUACGUGCUAUGUUGUAAAUUUUCUAUAGCUAAUGAAUAUUAGGUUACUUGACCCAAUUUGUAGUCUCGGCCAAUGAAAGAACAAAAAUGUGGUUAUUUAUUUCAGACGUGGCUUCCCACACACUUUGAUUAUGGAUUACAAUAAUGACACACUUGCUUUAUGAGGAAACAAAACCCUGACUCAGUCAUAUGACUCGUUGUCUCCUUCCUUAUUUAUUCCCGAUUGAGCAAACUCUAGUCUCUACUUCAACUUUUCCGUGUCUAGAAAUGGUUUCCCCAAACAAAAACGAUAAGAUUCACAUGCUUCCGAUUUCAGACGCAUCGUCAUCUUCAUCUCAGACUAGGGUUUUCACUUCCAGGACUCGUAGCGUUCCUCUCUCAAACCCUACUGAAGAAACUGGCAACUCGAAAGCUGCGACUUUAGGCUACGCAGGUUCUCUUCCGAGCCAACGUCCUCCUUUAUUCCCAAUGACUGGCCCUCUUUCCUCUUCUACUCGAAGAUCUUCUGGCUAUUUUGGUGACCUGGAAGAGGUAAACUCCUCAGACAACGAUGAGUUAUUGAAACACGCACAUCGCCUGAGAUCUGGAAAGCUGGGGAUGUGUAACGAUCCUUACUGUACCACUUGCCCUUCUAACUAUAAUCCCAAAGCAUCCCGGCUUCCCAAUCCAACUGUUUCUGCUUCCACGGUAUGUUUGAUUUUACCCUAACAGCACUAAAUACGCUUGAGACUCGAGAAAAUUUUGCUGACAUGGAGUUUUUUUUUUCUUUUUCAUAUUAGUUCCAUAAUGCCUUGUAUGAUGAUGCUAGAAGUUGGGCUAGGCGAUUUGCUUCUUCUGUUAAUAGAUGCUUACCUGGAAUCAUGAAUCCUCAUUCCAAAUUCGUUCAAAUAUGGACUAAGUUCUUUGCCGUCUCAAGCUUGUUAGCCAUUUUUAUAGACCCCCUCUUCUUCUUCAUCAUAUUAGUCCAAAAGGUAUAUAUAUGUUUCUUCUUGGAUCUCUUUCUUCCGUUUGAAUAUCUUUUUGACCAUCUUUCUGACUGCAGAACAACAAAUGCAUAGUGAUUGAUUGGCCGAUUGCUACCGCAUUUGUUAUUGUUAGAACUCUGACGGAUGUUAUAUUCUUUGCUAACAUGCUGCUUCAGGUGUGUUUCCUUUUACUCCAUUUAUUGUAAGCAAAGUCGGUACUGGACAUAGCGAGAUAAAACAUUCGCAUCAGCCCUAAAUUUAAGUGGCUGAUAUGUUUAGAUUAUUCGUCUUUCAAACUGAUUAAGAAAAAUAUAUGUAUUAAUCAUUUACAGGAGCCUGUCCCGGUACACAUCAUUUUACAACCACUAGAAGAUAAUAAUUUUGUACUGUUGUUAUGUCUGUAAAAUCUUAAUGUAAUUUGGCGCAUAGUGAUUGAUUGGCCGAUAGCUACCGUAAUUGUUUCAAACCUCAUAAUCUUAGGCCUGAUUCUUCUUACAAAUAAAUAUUGGUUUACAUUUAAUACAAUUUUUACUUAAUAUUUUGUUGCAGUUCCGACUGGCAUAUGUAGCUCGUGAGUCUACGGUAGUUGGUGCUGGCCAGUUGGUUGAUCGUCCAAAAAAAUUGCUCUCCAUUACUUUCGAGGAUAUUUUAUCGUAGACAUGAUCAUAGUGAUGCCAUUUCCACAGGUUUUGUAAUGUUAAAUACUCAAUACUACCAGUGGCGGAUCUAAUCCGGGGAAAAACAAAAAAAAAAUACUACUAUAUAUUUACAAAAUUACACUAACUAGAAAAUUUCAUGGGCAACUGCCCCACCCACUCACAUAGAUCCGCCCCCGAAUACUACUAUUCGUGUUUUGAGUAUGGUAUUUGGAAGAUGUUCAUCUACCACAAAUCUUACCUUUCCAUUUUUUUUUUGGCCUUACAGGUAUUGGUACUAUCGGUAAUACCAGCACAGUUAGCCAUAUCCGGGACAAACUAUGCGAAAAACCUUUUACGUACUGGAAUUCUUGUCCAAUACAUUCCAAAGCUAUAUAGACUUCUACCACUGCUUGCUGGACAAACACCAACAGGCCUCAUAUUUGAGUCAGCUUGGGCUAACUUUGUUAUUAAUCUUCUCACCUUCAUGCUUGCUGGACAUGUUGUCGGCUCUUGCUGGUAUCUUUUUGGUCUGCAGGUACAUUCAAUUUAAUGCAUGUCUUGUCCAAAUGCAAUAGAAGACUUUUGUAUAUAUUUCAAGUGAUUUAUUGAUUCUUCUCAUUGCCUUCUACCUCUUCUCUUGUUGUGUUUGGUCGUUUUAGAGAGUUAAUCAAUGCCUUCGAAAUGCUUGUGGUCAUUCUGGGCGUGAAUGUAGAGGUCUUAUUGAUUGUGGCCAUGGAAAUAGUAAUAUAUCAGCAUCCCUACGAGCUAUCUGGAGAAAUAGUGCGAGUGCAAAUGCUUGUUUCCAAGAAGAUGGGUUUUCUUACGGAAUAUAUUUGAAAAUGGUCAAUCUUACAACUCAUACUAGUCUCUUGACAAGAUAUAGUUACUCUUUGCUAUGGGGAUUUCAGGUAAUGGUUUACUCAAACAAUGUUUGGUAACUGUCCUAGCUACAGAAUUGCUAUGUUGCUAUCCAUUGCGUACUUAAUUUUGGCUAUGAGUUGUGUCCCAUAGCUACAAACUAUGUUAGUUAAUUCUUGUAGUGGUGGAACUCUUAAACUGACGUCAUGUUCUUAUAACUUUCAAAGCAAAUUAGCACGCUUGCUGGAAACCAAGUCCCAAGCUACUUUUUCCCUGAGGUCGUUUUUACUAUGGGUAUCAUCGGACUGGGACUUUUGCUUUUCGCGCUUCUUAUUGGUAAUAUGCAAAACUUCCUUCAGUCUCUCGGUAAAAGGAGCUUGGAAAUGACGCUAAGACGGCGUGAUGUAGAGCAGUGGAUGAGCCAUAGACGGUUGCCAGAAGGGAUAAGAAAGUAUGUGUACUAUAUCUAUGCCUAAUCAUUUAAACUUUGUCUAGUCUUAGUAAAAAACUUUAACUCACACUCAAAAACUAACUUCACUUAUAAAUUGCACGAAUUUUAUUUUUUCUCAGCCAUGUGAGACUUUAAUAAAUCAUCUUGAAAUGUGGGUGGGAAAUAAUUUAAGGGAAACGGGUCAAAUCCAACAUCUCGGUCGGAUAUACCGCAACAAGAUGUGCUAGUUAUACAUACUACAUAAAUAAAAGAAAAAUUGUUUAUGUCCAAAAGUAAUUUUUGGCUUUAUCAUUAGCUUUGAUACAAUAUUAGUAAUAUACCUAACUUACAUCCAAAAACUAAUUCAAGGUCUAUGAUUGUUACAUCACGUAUACAUAUAUUGCCCAAAUACCUGUUGUCUAUGGGAUGUGUGACUUUAGAGCAUCUCCAAUAUGACACUCUAUUUUGAAGUUUCCACAACUCUAUAUUUGAAGUUUAAAGGUGUUAUUCUCCAAAAAGAAAAUUUCAAAUUUAACAUCAAAACUAUUUGUAUUUUAUAUUAUGAUCUUUUUAUUUGUCAUAAUUAAUUUAUAUUCAUAAGAUUUUUGUAAAUAACUGGCACACGUAUAAAAAUAUUACAACAAUAUUAAUUAAUAAAAUGUUACAUUAAAAUAUCAGAUUUUAAAUAGAAAUACAUAGUUGAUAUUAAACUCAAGAAAAAUACCACAUUAUUCCAAAAAAUUAUAUCUGUAAUGGAUAUAUGAUCAAUGGGUGCAUUUCGAAGUUAAAAAUGACUUUCUUUAUUUUUAAUUUGUAACAAGCUAAAAAUUAUUGAAAUCAGGUGAUAUUAAUACUUGUAAAUACAUUAGAUUUUAACAAGAAAGUAAAAGAGGAAAAUAAAAUAUUGCUAAAAGAUUUAACUUCUAUCGAUGAUAUUAAUACUUGUGAAUACAUUCGAUCUGAACAAGAAAGAAUCGUACAAAAAAAUAUCAAAAUAACAACAAUGAUCUUCGGUUACACAAAAUUUGUUUGGAAAAUAUUUUGGAGGUUUCAGAUUAAUUUUUGCUGAAUAUUAGUGUUAUUGUAAUAUUUAAAUUUGUAUAAUAACUAUGCAUAUUUUUAUUUUUUAAAGCUUUUUUUUGUUAAGCUUCGUUUGUAUAUUGUUGUUGUCUAAAUCUACUAUUAAAAUAUUUAAAUCUUAUUUUAAUUUUUUAUUUAAUUUUAUGUGUAAAACUUAAAUUUAUACAAAAUUGAAAUAUUUAUGAUAUUUAAAAAUUUUAAGGAUUAAAAAAAUAAACGAGAAAUUAUUUAAGAAUCAUAAAUGUGAUGUGUAAUUGAGGGGACCAAGAUAUGAAACUUCAAAUUUAAAGUUUUGAUUAGUGAAACUUCAAAUUUAAAGUUUCACUCUUCAAAACUUCUUAUUUCUUUUGGAGAUGCUUUUAAUACUUUGCUCCUUUGUUUCCUUGAGAGUUCCAUUUUCUCAGGCUAUGUAUUUUCAUAACCAAAAUGUUAAAACGUUUAGGAGGGUGCGAGAGGCAGAGCGUUUCAAUUGGGCUGCUACCAGAGGAGUUAACGAAGAGUUGCUCUUUGAGAAUAUGCCUGAUGACCUUCAAGGAGAUAUAAGAAGACACCUCUUCAUAUUUCUCAAGAAAGUAAACAUCAGAAUCCAUUUCUCUCUGUUGAAGUUAUAUGUACUUAACUUAGACCCCAAUUCCUUAGUGCUUUUGCAUAGUGACUAUCAGUGAAACUGAAGUCUGAAGUAAUAUACGGGGAUCACAGUAUAAGCAUUCCUGAAACUAUGGUGAAGGAUAUGGACUAAAGAAGUUGAUGGGUUUACUUUACAGGUAAGAAUAUUUUCGUUGAUGGAUGAAUCAAUUUUAGACUCAAUACGUGAGAGGCUGAGACAGAGGACAUACAUAAGUGGUAGCACAGUCUUGCACCGCUGGGGUCCGGUGGAGAAAAUAGUUUUCGUAGUGAGAGGUGAGAUGGAGAGCACUGGAGAAGACGGUUCUGUUCUUCCUCUAUCAGAAGGAGACGUUUGUGGUGAAGAACUUCUCACUUGGUGCCUUGAACGCUCUGCUGUAAACCUCGGUAUGUCUCUUUCACUAUCAAGAUCUUGGCGUUUAACCAGUAUAUAUAUUAUAUAUUCAUGAAGUUGAUUGACCCACUUGAGAGAUGAUUAAAAACCUUGAUCAUGAUAAAUCUGUAGAUGGGAGGAUGCUUUCCAAGGGAUUGCUUAGCAGCAGAAAUGUUAAGUGUGUGACAAACGUGGAGGCGUUUUCGCUGAGUGCAGCAGACCUUGAGGAUGUAACGAGCUUGUUCUCGAGAUUCUUAAGGAGCCAUCGAGUCCAAGGAGCCAUAAGAUACGAGUCUCCUUAUUGUAGGCUACGAGCAGCUACGCAGAUUCAAGUGGCUUGGAGAUACAGAAAGAGACGGCUCCAGAAGUUAAGCACUGCUCAAAAGAAACAAUAUUCGUCAGAGUUAAUCCAAAAAGACAUGGCGAAAACAUAGAAAGAGAUGCAAGAUAACUGCUUCAUUUUAUUCACAACAUGUAUUUCAUUUUGCCGCUAAAGUGCUAGAUUUAAACCAAACCUGGAGAACAUAAGUGGCUAAUGUCUAAAAGGAACUCUGUAUUUAUCCUCGAUGUAUUCUGUAAGGAACGCAGCGACAUUUUCCUUCGUCCAUGUAUUUUUGGAUGUGGCGGAGUUGAGGCUACAAGCCAUCUACUUGUCCACACCUGCCCUGUACAACGACCGAUCAUAUUAUGACACAUCGGCAUUUUAGUUAAUUAUUUUCAAAAAUGACAAUAUUUCCAAAAAAAUGUUUACAUUAAAAUAAAAUAAAAAUAAAUAUCAAAUAAGGUAAACUCCUAAAAUUUUGUAAAAAGAUAAUUAAAUUAAAAUAAUAUCUAUAAUAAUAUAAUUUUUGAAAUUUAAAAUCAAAAAAACAAUGAUAGUAAUUAAUUCUAAAAUGCCAAAAUUUCAAAUAAUUAUAACAAUAUAAAUUUAACUCACGAUUCUCAAAAUUUUGGCUAUAAAAAUUAUUGAAAAUAUUCACAAAAUUGAGGCUAUAAGCGUCCACAUAGGAUUUAAAACAACUACUCAUAUUAUGACACAUCAGCAUUUUAGUUUAUUAAUUUCAAAAAUGUAAAUAUUUACAAAAAUGUUUAAUUUAAAAUAAAAUAAAAAUAAAUAUCAAAUAAGGUAAACUGUUAAAUGUAAAAAAAAAUAUAACUAAAUUAACUUAAUACCUAUAAGAAUAUAAUUUUUGAAAUUUAAAAUCAAAUAAAAUAAU